GAUGAUGAACGUUUGUGGAGAAGAAAUGACAGUUUUCUAAUGUUAAAAUAAAUAUCUCUUGGGGAAAGUUUUGUAAAACAAGAAAUUGAUAUCAUCAUGAACAUCACGUCCAUGACCUGUUUUACCAAGUGUCUGGGCAGCGGCUUUCCGUACUUCAACGUGCCAAUCUUUCCACAUCAAGCUAUAAAACGAUGUCUCCAACUACUACUAUUUAACUGUUCUCCUACCAAUGAAUGGAUCAGAGUCUACAGAAAAGAAACAGUGGACAAUAGUCAUUGCUGUUUUAAAAAGUUAUUGCAGUGUACAACAAAUAAGUCAUUGCUGUGUAAAAAAAAAAGAAUAAAAAGAAGAGCAGUUCUGUUUUUUUUUAAAAAAAGAAGCCAUUUCUGUGUUACAAA